UUAUAUUAUUUAUUUAAAUUUUUUCUUAUUGAAAUUUAAUUUUUAUAGAAAUAACUUUCUUUUUAGUAUUAUUUUAUAGAAUAAAUGAUUUAUUAUUUAUAGUUAAUUUAACUGUGAAGGUUAAUUAUAUUUUAUUUAUUAAGUAGAAUUUAUUUUUUGUACCUUUUGUAUCAGGGUUUAUUAAUCUUUUUUUAUUUAUGAAUAAAUUUCCCGAAUUUAAAGGAGAUAUUAAUAAUUGUUAUUUAAUGUUUCAUAAUUAUUAAGAAAUUAUUAAUAGGUGUUAUAUGCUAUUCAUCUUUAAAUAUCUGGUUUUUUAAUAAAUGAAUUUAAUUCAGAAUUAACAAAGUUUUAUGAUUAUUUAAUUUCUAAUAAUUUGUUAAUUUAAUAUUAAUGGGGAUUAGCUCUUUAAUAUUGAUAUAAUUUUUAUGUUAUUUAAGAUUUUGUAGGAUUAGAAAUUUCCGUCAUUUAUUUUGUUAUAAUUAAAUCUUAUAUAUAUUUUUAUUUAAUAGGAAUUUAUUAUUUUAUUAAAAAUUAUUGUUUAAUUUUACAUCAUUAGUUAUAAUGAUAAAAUUAGUAUUUUUUGUGAAUUAAUAUAUAGUAAUUCGGCAAUUUAAUUCUUCACCUGUUUAACAAAAACAUGUCCUAAUGUAAGUUAUUUAUUAGGUUUGGCCUGCUCAAUGAUUUUAUUAAAUAGCCGCAGUAUUUUGACUGUGCGAAGGUAGCAUAAUCAUUUGUCUUUUAAUUGAAGGCUUGUAUGAAUGGUUGGAUGAGAGAAUAACUUUCUUUAUAUUAAAAAUAGAAUUUAAUUUUUUAGUCAAAAAGCUAAAAUUUUUUAAAGGGACGAGAAGACCCUAUAGAAUUUUAUUAUAAAUAUUGUAAUGUAAUUUAUUGGUUUAUAUUUAUUUAUUUUGAUAUUUAUAAUUUUGUUGGGGUGACAAUGAGAUUUUUUUAACUCUCAUAAUUAUUAAUUUAUUAAUAAAUAUUUUUGAGAUCCUAUUUUAAGGAUAAUUAGAUUAAAUUACCUUAGGGAUAACAGCGUAAUUUUUCCGGAGAGUUCUUAUCAAUGGAAAAGUUUGCGACCUCGAUGUUGGAUUAAAAUAAGAUUUAAGUGCAGAAGCUUAAUUUCUAGGUCUGUUCGACCUUUAAAAUUUUACAUGAUCUGAGUUCAGACCGGCGUAAGCCAGGUCGGUUUCUAUCUUUUAUUAUUAUAAUAUGGAUUAGUACGAAAGGACCAUUCAUAUCAAAUAUUUUUGUUUUAAUUGAUUAUUUUU
rnacentral:rRNA from 1 species